rnacentral:rRNA from 1 species
GACGAACGCUGGCGGCGUGCUUAACACAUGCAAGUCGAACGGAAAGGCCCUGCUUGCAGGGUACUCUAGUGGCGAACGGGUGAGUAACACGCGGGUGUUCUGCCCUGCACUUCGGGGUAUGCCUGGGAAACAGUGUCUAAUACCGCGUAGAAGCCCUCUUGAGUGUGGUGGUUGGAAAGUAUUUUCGGUGUAGGGUGAGCUCGCGGCCUACCUGCUUGCUUGUGGGGUGAUGGCCUACCAAGGCGGCGGCGGGUAGGCGGCCUGGGUGGGUGGACGGCCAAAUUGGGGCUGAGAUUCGGGCCAGACCCCCACGGGAGGCAGCAGGGGGGAAUAUUGCACAAUGGGCGCGAGCCUGAUGCAGGGACGCCGCGUGGGGGAAGACGGCCUUCGGGUUGGAAACCCCUUUCGCCAGGGACGAAGCUUUUUGUGACGGUACCUAGAAAAGAAGCACCGGCUAACUACGUG